AGUGAACGCUGGCGGCGUGCUUAACACAUGCAAGUCGAACGAGAAAGCACUUCGGUGUGAGUAGAGUGGCGCACGGGUGAGUAACACGUAGGUAACCUGCCCUUUUGUGGGGGAUAACCAGGAGAAAUCCUGGCUAAUACCGCAUAAGUUGGUAACAAGAAAGGAUGCUUCGGCAUUCGCGAAAGGAUGGGCCUGCGUGACAUUAGCUUGAUGGUGGGGUAAUGGCCUACCAUGGCAACGAUGUCUAACUGGUCUGAGAGGAUGAUCAGUCACACUGGAACUGAGACACGGUCCAGACUCCUACGGGAGGCAGCAGUGGGGAAUAUUGCGCAAUGGGGGAAACCCUGACGCAGCAACGCCGCGUGAGUGAGGAAGGCCUUCGGGUUGUAAAGCUCUGUCAGAUGGGAAGAACGGUUAAGGGUCCAAUAGGCCUUUGAUUUGACGGUACCAUCAAAGGAAGCACCGGCUAACUUCG
rnacentral:rRNA from 1 species